rnacentral:rRNA from 1 species
GCACACCAGUGAGAAUGCCCUUAUAAAGCAUCAAGGAGCAGGUAUCAGGCACAAUCAGUUAGCCCAAAACACCUUGCUACGCCACACCCACACGGGCACUCAGCAGUGAUAAAUAUUAAGCAAUGAGUGAAAGCCAACUCAAGCUCGACUUAGUUAUGAUUAUUAGGGUCGGUAAACCUCGUGCCAGCCACCGCGGUUAUACGAGGAACCCAAAAUAACGGACACCGGCGUAAAUUGUGACUAGAGCACCUACUUAUAUAUUGGGAAAUAAACAAAAACUCGACCGUAAAACCUGAGCCAAAAGAAACAUACUUCCCCAACCACAAAGAAGCUUGAACCCACGAAGACUAAGAAACAAACUAGGAUUAGAUACCCUACUAUGCUUAGUUGUUAACAUGAUACCAAAAAACAUCGGUAUCCGCCAGAAAAUUACACGCGAAAAGCUUAAAACUCAAAGGACUUGGCGGUGCUCCGUAUUCGCCUUAGAGGAGCCUGUCCUAUAAUCGAUAAUCCACGCUUUACCUUGCCAUCUUUUGUCUAAACAGCCUAUAUACCGCCGUCGCAAACUUACCCCAUGAGGGCACAACAGUAAGUAAAACAGUAGUGCACUAGCACGUCAGGUCAAGGUGUAGCUAAUAAGAUGGAAGAGAUGGGCUACAUUUUCUAAAACAGAACAUACGGCAAAGAGCAUUGAAAUAUGCCCUAAAAGGCGGAUUUAAUAGUAAGAUAGAAAAGAGAAUCUAUCU